CGGUAAGGCCCUUUCGGGGGUACACGAGUGGCGAACGGGUGAGUAACACGUGAGUAACCUGCCCACAACUUUGGGAUAACGCUAGGAAACUGGUGCUAAUACUGGAUAUGUGCUCCUGCUGCAUGGUAGGGGUUGGAAAGCUCCGGCGGUUGUGGAUGGACUCGCGGCCUAUCAGCUUGUUGGUGGGGUAGUGGCCUACCAAGGCGGCGACGGGUAGCCGGCCUGAGAGGGUGACCGGCCACAUUGGGACUGAGAUACGGCCCAGACUCCUACGGGAGGCAGCAGUGGGGAAUAUUGCACAAUGGGCGCAAGCCUGAUGCAGCAACGCCGCGUGCGGGAUGACGGCCUUCGGGUUGUAAACCGCUUUCAGCAGGGACGAAGCUUUUUGUGACGGUACCUGCAGAAGAAGCACCGGCUAACUACGUGCCAGCAGCCGCGGUGAUACGUAGGGUGCGAGCGUUGUCCGGAUUUAUUGGGCGUAAAGGGCUCGUAGGCGGUUGAUCGCGUCGGAAGUGG
rnacentral:rRNA from 1 species